AUUCUCUUUUUCCUCUUUCUCUUUAUCCGAUUUCAAUCAAAUAGACUCAUGAUAUUGAUCAUCAACCAUUGGAUCACGACUUGGUUCACCUUGGAGAUUAUCCUCAUUUCUCCUCUUUCUGUUGAUCCUCUUUUACAUCAUGGUAUAAGAGCUAUUGACUAUUUAUAUGGUCUAAGUUAAGAUAAUUGAGGAGAAAAAUUAAGAAAGCUAGUAGGAGUAACAGUGGUUGUGGUGAUAGAUAAUGAAUUGCCCAAGAAAUUGAGUCAUAAUCAUCAAUUGUAUCUGAAUGCAUUAGAUCUGUCUGGAGUUAUGUUGAUUUUUAUUCAAUUAGAAAGAUCUAAAAACUAUUAUGUGGAUUGAAUCGAUGAGAAUAGCCAUACUUGGAAGGAACAAGUUGGGAUUCAUCAUGGCACGUGUAGGAAAGAAAGCUUCGACCCACAGAUCUCUCAUUUCUCAAAGAUGUGUUGCCUGAAUGUUUAUGCUAUGAAUUCGAAUGAGCGGUUAAAUUCACUUGCAACUUGUGGUCGACCUUUGAAUGACACGCUAAAAUACUUCCGGUGGUAAAAAACCAACAUCUAUUACUUUGCACACUCUUUAUCGGCAAAUCCUUAGCAAUGGAGUCUCUUCCUAUAUUCUUGGACAAGCUUGUACCGUCGUGGGAAGUAGUAAUGGUAUCUGUUAAAAUGAUUCGCAUGUUCAAAUAGAUAAUUCCUUGAUCAAUCUAUACUAGCUAUGGAUUGACUUUUAGAUCCACUGUAGCACCCCUUGUUCAGCUUCUUCAAUGGUUAUUCUUCCCCAUUGCUUAUCCAAUUAGUAAGCUUGGAAAGAAAUGGAAAGAAUGCAACAUAAAGUUGAAUGGAGGAGUUCCUUGGUUAUGUUCUCCCUCCGUUUUCAUUUACUUGUCACAUUUUGAUGUGGCACAACUAUUAAGAAAACAAUGAUUGGU